rnacentral:rRNA from 1 species
UCCGUAGGUGAACCUGCGGAAGGAUCAUUAAUUAUGUUAAAGCGCCUUACCUUAGGGUUUCCUCUGGGGUAAGUGAUUGCUUCUACACUGUGAAAAUUUGGCUGAGAGACUCAGACUGGUCAUGGGUAGACCUAUCUGGGGUUUGAUCGAUGCCACUCCUGGUUUCAGGAGUACCCUUCAUAAUAAACCUAGAAAUUCAGUAUUAUAAAGUUUAAUAAAAAACAACUUUUAACAAUGGAUCUCUUGGUUCUCGCAUCGAUGAAGAACGUAGCAAAGUGCGAUAACUAGUGUGAAUUGCAUAUUCAGUGAAUCAUCGAGUCUUUGAACGCAGCUUGCACUCUAUGGUUUUUCUAUAGAGUACGCCUGCUUCAGUAUCAUCACAAACCCACACAUAACAUUUGUUUAUGUGGUGAUGGGUCGCAUCGCUGUUUUAUUACAGUGAGCACCUAAAAUGUGUGUGAUUUUCUGUCUGGCUUGCUAGGCAGGAAUAUUACGCUGGUCUCAGGAUCUUUUUUUUUGGUUCGCCCAGGAAGUAAAGUACAAGAGUAUAAUCCAGUAACUUUCAAACUAUGAUCUGAAGUCAGGUGGGAGUACCCGCUGAACUUAAGCAUAUCAAUAAGCGGAGGA